rnacentral:rRNA from 1 species
UUUGAUAGUACCUUACUACUUGGAUAACCGUGGUAAUUCUAGAGCUAAUACAUGCUAAAAACCCCAACUUCGGGCGGGGUGUAUUUAUUAGAUAAAAAACCAAUGCCCUUCGGGGCUCACUGGUGAUUCAUAAUAACUUCUCAGAUCGCAUGGCCUUGCGCCGGCGACGGUUCAUUCAAAUUUCUGCCCUAUCAACUUUCGAUGGUAAGGUAUUGGCUUACCAUGGUUUCAACGGGUAACGGGGAAUUAGGGUUCGAUUCCGGAGAGGGAGCCUGAGAAACGGCUACCACAUCCAAGGAAGGCAGCAGGCGCGCAAAUUACCCAAUCCCAAUACGGGGAGGUAGUGACAAUAAAUACUGAUACAGGGCUCUUUAGGGUCUUGUAAUUGGAAUGAGUACAAUUUAAACCUCUUAACGAGGAACAAUUGGAGGGCAAGUCUGGUGCCAGCAGCCGCGGUAAUUCCAGCUCCAAUAGCGUAUAUUAAAGUUGUUGCAGUUAAAAAGCUCGUAGUUGAACCUUUGGCCUGGCUGGCGGGUCCGCCUCACCGCGUGCACUCGUCCGGCCGGGCCUUUUCUUCUGGAGAACCGCAUGCCCUUCACUGGGUGUGUUGGGGACCAGGACUUUUACUUUGAAAAAAUUAGAGUGUUCAAAGCAGGCCUUUGCUCGAAUACGUUAGCAUGGAAUAAUAGAAUAGGACGUGCGGUCCUAUUUUGUUGGUUUCUAGGACCGCCGUAAUGAUUAAUAGGGACAGUCGGGGGCAUCAGUAUUCAAUUGUCAGAGGUGAAAUUCUUGGAUUUAUUGAAGACUAACUACUGCGAAAGCAUUUGCCAAGGAUGUUUUCAUUAAUCAGUGAACGAAAGUUAGGGGAUCGAAGACGAUCAGAUACCGUCGUAGUCUUAACCAUAAACUAUGCCGACUAGGGAUCGGGCGGUGUUACUAUU